GGACUACCAGGGUAUCUAAUCCUGUUUGCUACCCACGCUUUCGUAGUUGAGUGUCAAUACUGUUCCAGGUCGCCGCCUUCGCCUCUGGUGUUCCUCCCGAUCUCUACGCAUUUCACCGCUACACCGGGAAUUCCACGACCCUCUCACAGAUUCUAGUCUCACCGUUUCUGGGGCACUUCUUGAGUUAAGCUCAAGGCUUUCACCCCAGACAAAUGAGACAACCUACCUACCCUUUACGCCCAAUAAUUCCGAGCAACGCUCGCACCCUUCGUAUUACCGCGGCUGCUGGCAC
rnacentral:rRNA from 1 species